UACAGAGGUCCCAAGCGUUGUCCGGAAUCAUUGGGCGUAAAGCGCGUGUAGGCGGCUCGAUAAGUCUGCUGUGAAAGUCCAAGGCUCAACCUUGGGAUGCCGGUGGAUACUGUCGAGCUCGAGUCCGGAAGAGGAGUGUGGAAUUCCUGGUGUAGCGGUGAAAUGCGCAGAUAUCAGGAGGAACACCAAUGGCGAAGGCAGCACUCUGGGACGGUACUGACGCUAAGGCGCGAAAGCGUGGGGAGCGAACAGG
rnacentral:rRNA from 1 species